ACGCUUUUUACUUUUAGCUUGCUAGAGUAGAAGGAGUUGCGAACGGGUGAGUAACGCGUAGGUAACCUACCUACUAGCGGGGGAUAACUAUUGGAAACGAUAGCUAAUACCGCAUAAGAGUGUUUAACACAUGUUAGAAGCUUGAAAGAUGCAAAUGCAUCACUAGUAGAUGGACCUGCGUUGUAUUAGCUAGUUGGUGGGGUAAUGGCUUACCAAGGCGACGAUACAUAGCCGACCUGAGAGGGUGAACGGCCACACUGGGACUGAGACACGGCCCAGACUCCUACGGGAGGCAGCAGUAGGGAAUCUUCGGCAAUGGGGGCAACCCUGACCGAGCAACGCCGCGUGAGUGAAGAAGGUUUUCGGAUCGUAAAGCUCUGUUGUAAGAGAAGAACGAGUGUGAGAGUGGAAAGUUCACACAGUGACGGUAACUUACCAGAAAGGGACGGCUAACUACGUGCCAGCAGCCGCGGUAAUACGUAGGUCCCGAGCGUUGUCCGGAUUUAUUGGGCGUAAAGCGAGCGCAGGCGGUUUAAUAAGUCUGAAGUUAAAGGCAGUGGCUUAACCAUUGUUCGCUUUGGAAACUGUUAAACUUGAGUGCAGAAGGGGAGAGUGGAAUUCCAUGUGUAGCGGUGAAAUGCGUAGAUAUAUGGAG
rnacentral:rRNA from 1 species